rnacentral:rRNA from 1 species
AUGGAAUCCUCUACUGCAAACCCUACAUGGAGGCCAAUGUACACCCCUGCACCUGAAGGCUUGCUAAGUUUUGGACAAUUCCCUCCAAUGCAUCCUUAUAAUUUUCGACCUCCGCCAAUGCACCACCCUGAACAAGGACACAAAAAUAUGGAGAAUUUGCAUUUUGUUGGGGCUUCCCCACACGAUUCCUUUUCAACACCACCGCCACCACUGCACCCUAAAGUUGCAUCUCGGUCUGCUCCCGCCAAAGUGGAUUCUACUUCCUCCAAAAGGAAGAAGCGGAAGGUCACCAAUGUAGAUGACGAUGAAUUGGGAGAAAGGACCGCAUAUCGUCUGCCCUAUUUACCCGAGGAACAUGAAAGACUGGCAGGCGCUUGGCUGGAGUGUUCACUCGAUCCCAUCAAUGGGAACAGAAAGAAGAAUGAGCGGUUCUGGGAUGACAUUGCUGCUCUAUACAACAUUGCUGCUCUAUACAACAGUGCCACGCAAAGUAACCGAAAGAGAGAUCGGGAUCAGUUGAAGAUGGAGUGGCAAAGGACCAAGAAAAGGCUCGCCGCUUUCCAUGGUGAGUGGAUUGACGUAAUUGGAGUGUAUCGUAGUGGUUGCAGCCAACAUGACCUGGAAAAAAUGGCUUUGGAGAAGUAUGAACAAAACUAUCACCAGCCUUUCCAACAUUUAACUAUGUGGGCAAAACUCAAGGAUGAUGGUAAAUGGCUAGCCUCUUACAGAAACAUGACGGAAAAAGUAGGGAACAGAACAUCUGUGGAGACCAAUCUCACACCAAAUAUGAUUAACUUGGAGGCCGAGGAGCGCCCAUCAGCUGGCCGUGAUAAGGCUAAGGUUGAACGUGCUGGUAAAGGCAAGUCAGGAGGGCUCUCACAAGAGCUUGGAGAAAGAUUGGAAAAAUUCAUCGAGGUUAACAAUCAAUCAAUGGAGGACCGUCAAAAGGUGAUAGACAGCCAGGUGAUUCUAUCAAAUCAACAGCUUGAGACUGCGAAGAUCAACAACAAAACAAAAUUGUUGGAUGUUUACUCCAAAAUGCUUUUAGCGGACACAUCUAAGAUGGAUGACGCUGAAAAGGCUCGACUUGCUAAGGCUUUGAGUAAAAUGGAGCCCAUGUUAUUUCCUGAAGGAGAUUCAGUUGAUUGA